rnacentral:rRNA from 1 species
GACGAACGCUGGCGGCGUGCUUAACACAUGCAAGUCGAACGGAAAGGCCCUGCUUUUGUGGGGUGCUCGAGUGGCGAACGGGUGAGUAACACGUGAGUAACCUGCCCUUGACUUUGGGAUAACUUCAGGAAACUGGGGCUAAUACCGGAUAGGAGCUCCUGCUGCAUGGUGGGGGUUGGAAAGUUUCGGCGGUUGGGGAUGGACUCGCGGCUUAUCAGCUUGUUGGUGGGGUAGUGGCGUACCAAGGCUUUGACGGGUAGCCGGCCUGGGAGGGUGACCGGCCACAUUGGGACUGAGAUACGCCCCAGACUCCUACGGGAGGCAGCAGUGGGGAAUAUUGCACAAUGGGCGGAAGCCUGAUGCAGCAACGCCGCGUGCGGGAUGACGGCCUUCGGGUUGUAAACCGCUUUCGCCUGUGACGAAGCGUGAGUGACGGUAAUGGGUAAAGAAGCACCGGCUAACUACGUG